UACAGAGGUCCCAAGCGUUGUUCGGAUUCACUGGGCGUAAAGGGUGCGUAGGUGGCCAGGUAAGUCUGAUGUGAAAUCUCGGAGCUCAACUCCGAAACUGCAUUGGAUACUAUCUGGCUGGAGGGUCGGAGGGGGGACUGGAAUUCUCGGUGUAGCAGUGAAAUGCGUAGAUAUCGGGAGGAACACCUGUGGCGAAAGCGGCUCACUGGACCACAACUGACGCUGAGGCGCGAAAGCUAGGGGAGCAAACAGG
rnacentral:rRNA from 1 species